CGGACUUACGACCAACCCGGAUUAUGCUCGAAGGGGAAGGUUCAG
rnacentral:tRNA from 1 species